UCCAUCAACUUUAAUUGCUUGUUUUAGGUCAAAUACCCUGUUUCUCUGAUUUGCAUAUCUCGUUCCAUGUGCUGGUACAGUUUGGUACAAAGAGUCAUGCCGAAUGCGCUAGGUUCUCACCAGAUGGACAGUUAGUUUCUUGUAUCGUCUUCUGUUGAUGGUUUUUUUCGAGGUAUGGGAUUACUUGCAUAAGUGGAAAGCUGAAGAAGGAUUUGCGAUAUCACUGCAUCCAGUGAAGGUCUGGGAUUCAAAGACGACAGAUUGUCUACAAACGUUCAAGCCACCACCUUCACUAAGAGAAACUGUAGUGCUUCAGCUAUCUAUCAAACCGGUGGACUUGAGCAUUUUAUGAUGGUGCAUGAGAAAGAUGUGAUAGGGCUUAUCACACCACCCACAUAGAAACCUCAUCGCUACCUAUAGUGCAGAUUGAGUUGUGGAAACCCUGAGCUGCCUCAAACCAGUAGGAUAUGUUAUACUAAAAUGAGACUCCGAAGGAUCAUUUAUUUCGUUAUCCUAAUAACCAGCAACAUAGGAAUUUUAUGUACACUGUUUAUUUGAUAUUUUUUCCUGAAAAUGGUUAAAUCUAUGACUUUGUUUUGACUGAGGAUGAUCGAGAAUCCUUGAAUGCUGAAAAGUGAUAAAUCUCAUAAACUAGGCCAAGUGAUAGACGAGUCUCUCUCUCUAUGUCAUGGUUCUGAUCUUUUUCUAUUACAAGAAGUUGCAAUUGAACUAGCAAAGAUAAUGAUCCUGGUGAUGAUGAGUAGCGUUGAUGUUAUAAUCUAGGAGAGGUGCAUCAACAUGAUGAUUCAUAUCAGGUAAAAACAUUUCUCUGUUCAGCUUCUGGCUGUUCUUCAUCUUGUACACUAACAUAACAGUUCCUGAUCUGAUUCUAGGUCGUUUCCUUCUCCGGUGCUUCUCUUACUGGCUGUGAAGUGCCUGUCGGUUGUUCUUUCUGUACAUUUCUUCUACUGUGUCUGUCUUUAGACGAAACCGUACCUGAAGCCUCCUCCCUCCCAUCAGCAUCAUAGUACUUAGCAAUCGCAGCAGGACCGUUCUUGUCGAACUUCACCUUCUCUUUCCACCAAGCCUCUUAUGCUGUCGGAGGAGCCACUCACGGGCUUUCCCUUCUCGGGUAUGAUACCGUACACGAAUAACAAUUUUAAAAAAGAUAUUUGUUUGAAAACUUAGAUAACAAUUUUAAAAAGAUGUUUAUUUGAUAACAGUUUAUAUGGUGCCAACAUCGUGACGAGGUCUAAUUGAUUUUAGCAAAAUAUAAUGGGGUCAAACAAUACGUUCUGUCUUAAUUAUUCUUGUUAUGCAUUCGAAUUUAUCUGUUUAUUUGUAUAUAUUAUUAACACUGAGUACAAAUUAUGUUCUGAUUUGUUACUGGGUUUGAGAAUUUCACUUGAACAUUUGCAAUCACAGUCUUCUUCCAUGCAAGGGGCAAAGCCGCAGAGGGAGAUUAUCUCUCCAUCCCUAUUCAACAAGAGAGCAAUAUAGAUCCCGAUUUAUCAGACUGGUGCCAACAUAUAGAAGAAAAUAAAAAAGGAUUAUGUGAAGCCUCGGACUUUGCAGACUUCCAUCAGCUUCCUCUGCGCUUGGUCAGAGAUCUUCUUAGGCUGUCUCCUUCUUGAUUAUGAAAUCGUCUGGGAGGAACCGAGGAACCCUGCAAAGAAUUAACAGUUGCGUUAAAUCAAACAUAAUAUGAUCACUUUGAAAAGUUGAAAGUAAGACAAAAACCCUCAAAAUCUCAAGGUUAAUAUGUGUUAUUCUUUGUU